GUGCUGCCGAGGAGUCUCAUAAUAGGACGAAACGGCCGUCCAGUUC
rfam:Schistosoma mansoni strain Puerto Rico chromosome 5, complete genome